UUGAUAGAAUCUCCACAACGAUCGAAAGAUACAAAUCGUUGAUAGCCCUCAUAAGAUAAUUUUCUCAACCUGCCCAAUUGCUUCAAAUUCACGCCCACCUUUACCGCUCCUCAUUUAUACACGAUCCAGAUGCAUCUCUCUGUCUUCUAACCUCCGUUGCCGCUUAUUCCAUCACAACUUAACUUAUCUCCGACGGAUUUUCAAUCUCACGCGAAACCCAAAAUUGAAUCAUUACACCGCCAUAAUCAGAGCUUACUCAAACAGCAAAUUUCCUCACGAAGGAUUCAAAUUAUACAGAGAGAUGCGACAGAGAGUCGCUCGGGAAUUGUCGAUGAAGGUUUGAUGAUUUUCGACUAGUUGUUAAAAGAAACCAUAAUAAAGUCAACCAUCCAUCAUUAGCUCGUGAAGGCUAUCUCGAGAAAGCAUACGAUCUUAUUCUUUAGUGUCAGUUUGUAGAACUCAAAAC